rnacentral:rRNA from 1 species
GACGAGCCACACAAACGUUAUUCGGAAUUACUGGGCUUAAAGGGUGCGUAGGCUGCGCGGAAAGUUGGGUGUGAAAUCCCUCGGCUCAACCGAGGAACUGCGCCCAAAACUACCGUGCUCGAGGAAGAUAGAGGUAAGCGGAACUUACGGUGGAGCGGUGAAAUGCGUUGAUAUCGUAAGGAACACCUGUGGCGAAAGCGGUUUACUGGGUCUUUUCCGACGCUCAUGCACGAAAGCGUGGGGAGCAAACAGG